AGAGUUUGAUCCUGGCUCAGGAUGAACGCUAGCGGCAGGCUUAACACAUGCAAGUCGAGGGGCAGCGGGGAGGAAGCUUGCUUUCUCCGCCGGCGACCGGCGCACGGGUGAGUAACACGUAUGCAACCUGCCCCUGUCAGGGGGACAACCCGCCGAAAGGCGGGCUAAACCCGCGUACAUGCCACCGGGGCAUCCCGGAGGCAGGAAAGGCUUCGGCCGGACAGGGAUGGGCAUGCGGCGCAUUAGGCAGUAGGCGGGGUAACGGCCCACCUAACCGACGAUGCGUAGGGGUUCUGAGAGGAAGGUCCCCCACACUGGUACUGAGACACGGACCAGACUCCUACGGGAGGCAGCAGUGAGGAAUAUUGGUCAAUGGUCGGGAGACUGAACCAGCCAAGCCGCGUGAGGGAGGAAGGUACAGAGUAUCGUAAACCUCUUUUGUCAGGGAACAAAGGCGGGGACGUGUCCCCGGAUGAGUGUACCUGAAGAAAAAGCAUCGGCUAACUCCGUGCCAGCAGCCGCGGUAAUACGGAGGAUGCGAGCGUUAUCCGGAUUUAUUGGGUUUAAAGGGUGCGCAGGCGGUCUGUUAAGUCAGCGGUCAAAGCCCGGGGCUCAACCCCGGCCCGCCGUUGAAACUGGCAGUCUCGAGUUGGAGAGAAGUAUGCGGAAUGCGCGGUGUAGCGGUGAAAUGCAUAGAUAUCGCGCAGAACUCCGAUUGCGAAGGCAGCAUGCCGGCUCCACACUGACGCUGAGGCACGAAAGCGUGGGUAUCGAACAGGAUUAGAUACCCUGUAGCCCACGCAGUAAACGAUGAAUGCUGGCUGUCCGGGGGGACUGACCCCUGGGUGGCGAAGCGAAAGCGAUAAGCAUUCCACCUGGGGAGUACGCCGGCAACGGUGAAACUCAAAGGAAUUGACGGGGGCCCGCACAAGCGGAGGAACAUGUGGUUUAAUUCGAUGAUACGCGAGGAACCUUACCCGGGCUCAAACGGGGAGUGGCGCAGGCAGAGACGCCUGUUUCCCACGGGACACUCCCCGAGGUGCUGCAUGGUUGUCGUCAGCUCGUGCCGUGAGGUGUCGGCUUAAGUGCCAUAACGAGCGCAACCCCCGCGUGCAGUUGCUAACAGUCAACGCUGAGGACUCUGCACGGACUGCCGGCGCAAGCCGCGAGGAAGGCGGGGAUGACGUCAAAUCAGCACGGCCCUUACGUCCGGGGCGACACACGUGUUACAAUGGGUGGUACAGCGGGAAGCCAGGCGGCGACGCCGAGCGGAACCCGAAAUCCACUCUCAGUUCGGAUCGGAGUCUGCAACCCGACUCCGUGAAGCUGGAUUCGCUAGUAAUCGCGCAUCAGCCAUGGCGCGGUGAAUACGUUCCCGGGCCUUGCACUCACCGCCCGUCA
rnacentral:rRNA from 1 species